rnacentral:lncRNA from 1 species
UGACCUCAAACAAGUCAAAGUGAUGCCUCAUUGAUCAGUUUCUCGAGGAAGGAAGCACGCGACAAGUUUCUCUCCAAUCCAGAAGGACAGAGGUAAAGGAUAUUUACAAGAGAAGGGAAAGUGAAGGGGUGAGGUUCCACAAGAGCAGACAGAAUCUGCAAGGAAAACUCCUCCCACCACACCCGCUGCAGCCAGACUGGUUCUCAGUGAAGCUGGUAAGUGUUCUCACAGUCCUUUUGUUCCUAUAUUAAAUGACCUCACUGCUC